CCUACGGGUGGCAGCAGUGGGGGAUAUUGCACAAUGGGGGAAACCCUGAUGCAGCGAAGCCGCGUGAGUGAAGAAGUAUUUCGGUAUGUAAAGCUCUUUCAGCAGGGAAGAAAAUGACAGUACCUGACCCAGAAGCCCCGGCUAACUACGUGCCAGCAGCCGCGGUAAUACGUAGGGGGCAAACGUUAUUCGGAUUUACUGGAGGUAAAGGGUGCGUAGACGGGUUUUGCAGUCUGGAGUGAAAGGCCGGGGCCAAACCCCGGGACUGCAUUGGAAAUUGUGUAACUGGAGUACAGGAGGGGCAGGCGGAAUUCCUGGUGUAGCGGUGAAAUGCGUAGAUAUCAGGAGGAACACCGGCGGCGAAAGCGGCCUGCUGAACUGAAACUGACGUUGAGGCUCGAAAGCGUGGGGAGCAAACAGGAUUAGAUACCCCUGUAGUC
rnacentral:rRNA from 1 species